AGAGUUUGAUCCUGGCUCAGAGCGAACGCUGGCGGCGUGCUUAACACAUGCAAGUCGAACGCGCAGCAUUCUGUAGCAAUACAGGGUGUGGGCGCGUGGCGAACAGGUGCGUAACACGUGGAUAACCUUUCCUUCAGGUGGGGAAUAACCCAGUGAGAAUUGGGCUAAUACCGCAUAACAUGACGAUGCCACAUGGUGUUGUCUUCAAAGCCGCAAGGCGCCAGAAGAGGGAUCCGCGGCCGAUUAGCUUGUUGGCGAGGUAAUGGCUCACCAAGGCAUUGAUCGGUAGCCGGACUGAGAGGUUGGCCGGCCACACUGGAACUGAGACACGGUCCAGACUCCUACGGGAGGCAGCAGUGGGGAAUCUUGCACAAUGGACGAAAGUCUGAUGCAGCAACGCCGCGUGGUGGAUGAAGCUUUUCGGAGUGUAAACCCCUUUCGACCCGGAAGAAUGCCCGCAAGGGUUUGACGGUACGGGUAUAAGAAGCCCCGGCUAACUACGUGCCAGCAGCCGCGGUAAUACGUAGGGGGCCAGCGUUGCUCGGAAUUACUGGGCGUAAAGGGUCCGUAGGCGGUGUGGCAAGUCGGGAGUGAAAUCUCUGGGCUUAACCCAGAGGCUGCUUCCGAAACUGCCAUGCUAGAGUGUGAGAGAGGCGAGUGUAAUUACGGGUGUAGCGGUGAAAUGCGUAGAUAUCCGUAGGAACAUCCGAGGCGAAGGCGGCUCGCUGGAUCACAACUGACGCUGAGGGACGAAAGCUAGGGGAGCAAACAGGAUUAGAUACCCUGGUAGUCCUAGCCCUAAACCAUCAGGACUUGGGGUGUGCCCUGU
rnacentral:rRNA from 1 species